GUGAGGAAUAUUGGGCAAUGGAGGCAACUCUGACCCAGCCAUGCCGCGUGCAGGAAGACGGUCCUAUGGAUUGUAAACUGCUUUUAUACGGGAAGAAACACCCCCUCGUGAGGGGACUUGACGGUACCGUAAGAAUAAGGAUCGGCUAACUCCGUGCCAGCAGCCGCGGUAAUACGGAGGAUCCAAGCGUUAUCCGGAAUCAUUGGGUUUAAAGGGUUCGUAGGCGGCCUUAUAAGUCAGUGGUGAAAUCUCCUAGCUCAACUAGGAAACUGCCAUGGAUACUGUAGGGCUGGAAUUAUUGUGAAGGAACUAGAAUAUGUAGUGUAGCGGUGAAAUGCUUAGAUAUUACAUGGAAUACCAAUUGCGAAGGCAGGUUACUAACAAUAUAUUGACGCUGAUGGACGAAAGCGUGGGUAGCGAACAGGAUUAGAAACCCGUGUAGUCC
rnacentral:rRNA from 1 species